rnacentral:lncRNA from 1 species
CUUUUCGAGGUAGGAGUCGACUCCUGUGAGGUAUGGUGCUGGGUGCAGAUGCAGUGUGGCUCUGGAUAGCACCUUAUGGACAGUUGUGUCCCCAAGGAAGGAUGAGAAUAGCUACUGAAUUGUUUCUUCCCAGGUCCUAAAGAGCAAGCCUAACUCAAGCCAUUGGCACACAGGCAUUAGACAGAAAGCUGGAAGUUGAAAUGGUGGAGUCCAACUUGCCUGGACCAGCUUAAUGGUUCUGCUCCUGGUAACGUUUUUAUCCAUGGAUGACUUGCUUGGGUAAGGACAUGAAGACAGUUCCUGUCAUACCUUUUAAAGGUAUGGAGAGUCGGCUUGACUACACUGUGUGGAGCAAGUUUUAAAGAAGCAAAGGACUCAGAAUUCAUGAUUGAAGAAAUGCAGGCAGACCUGUUAUCCUAAACUAGGGUUUUUAAUGACCACAACAAGCAAGCAUGCAGCUUACUGCUUGAAAGGGUCUUGCCUCACCCAAGCUAGAGUGCAGUGGCCUUUGAAGCUUACUACAGCCUCAAACUUCUGGGCUCAAGUGAUCCUCAGCCUCCCAGUGGUCUUUGUAGACUGCCUGAUGGAGUCUCAUGGCACAAGAAGAUUAAAACAGUGUCUCCAAUUUUAAUAAAUUUUUGCAAUCCA